CCUACGGGUGGCAGCAGUAGGGAAUAUUGGUCAAUGGGCGAGAGCCUGAACCAGCCAUGCCGCGUGCAGGAAGACGGCCUUCUGGGUUGUAAACUGCUUUUAUCAGGGAACAAAACGGCCAUGCGUGGCAAACUGAGUGUACCUGAUGAAUAAGCACCGGCUAACUCCGUGCCAGCAGCCGCGGUAAUACGGAGGGUGCAAGCGUUGUCCGGAUUUAUUGGGUUUAAAGGGUGCGUAGGCGUCCCAUCAAGUUUCUGGUGAAAUCCUCGAGCUCAACUCGAGAACUGCCGGGAAAACUGCUGGGAUUGAGUAUAGUUGAGGUAGGCGGAAUUCAUGGUGUAGCGGUGAAAUGCAUAGAUACCAUGAAGAACACCAAUAGCGUAGGCAGCUUACUAAACUAUAACUGACGCUGAGGCACGAAAGCGUGGGGAGCGAACAGG
rnacentral:rRNA from 1 species